UUCCACAUAAACAAUCUUCUAAUACUCACAUGAAAAGACAGAUGGAUUUUCAAGAUGUACUAUUAAGUGAAUGGUUGAGCAUUCCUAAUUGGAAAAAUCCGAAAUCCAAGAUGCUCCAAACUCUGAAACUUUUUGAAUUCUAACAUGAUGCCACAAGUGAAAAACUCCACACCUAAUACUUGUUUUCUAAUGAUUCAAGGUACACAAAUUUUAUUUAAUGCACAAAAUUAUUAAAAAUACUGUAUACUACACUGUUUUUGUUUAACUUGUGGACAAAGACUUAUGGUUAGGUGCAAAAAAUAAAUCCUCUUUUGCAACCCAGAACUCAUUGUUCAGUAUGAGUUUUGAUACAUAUAAGAAGGUGUUGCAGGAAGUCAGGGACCCCAAACGGAGGAACCGGCUGAAGCCAUGACAGAAGAACGUGGAUUAUGAAGAUUUUAUGGACAUUUAUUAGUUCCCCAAAUUAAUAUUUUUGUAAUUUCUUAUGCCUGUCUUUACUGCACUCUCUAAACAUAAAUUGUAAAGAUUUCAUGGACACUUAUCACUUCCCCAAUCAAUACCCUUGUGAUUUCCUAUGCCUGUCUUUACUUUAAUCUCUUAAUCCUGUCAGCCGAGAAGGAUGUGUAUCGUCUCAGGACCCUGUAAUAAUUGCGUUAAGUACACAAAUUGUACAGCAUGUGUGUUUGAGCAAUAUGAAAUGUGGGCACCCUGAAAAAAGAACAGGAUAACAGCAAUUGUUCAGGGAAUAAGAGAGAUAACCUUAAACUCUGACCGCCGGUGAGCCGGGCAGAACAGAGCCAUAUUUCUCUUCUUUCAAAAGCAAAUGGGAGAAAUAUUACUGAAUUCCUUUUCUCAGCAUGGAAAGUCCCUGAGAAAGAGAAUGCGCACCUAGGGGUAGGUCUCUGAACUGGCCCCCCCGGGGCAUACCUGUCUCUUAUGGUCGAGAUUGCAGAGGUGAAAUAAACUCCAGUCUCCCAUAGCGCUCCCAGGCUUAUUAGGAAGAGGAAAUUCCCGCCUAAUAAACUUUGGUCAGACUAGUUGAUCUCAAAACCCUGUCUCCUGAUAAGAUGUUAUCAAUGACAAUGGUGCCCGAAACUUUAUUAGCAAUUUUAAUUUCGCCUCUGUCCUGUGGUCCUGUGAUCUCGCCCUGCCUCCACUUGCUUUGUGAUAUUCUAUUACCCUGUUAAGUACUUGACGUCUGUCACCCACAACUAUUCGCACACUCCCUCCCCUUUUGAAAAUCCCUAAUAAAAACUUGCUGGUUUUUGUGGCUUGUGGG
ensembl:lncRNA novel transcript, antisense to FKBP5